CAAACCAACAAGCUUGCUUGUUGGGGUUGUAGGACACUCUAUACGGAGUUACAAAGGACGACAUUAGACGAAUCAUCUGGAAAGAUGAAUCAAAGAAGGUAAUAAUCCUGUAGUCGAAAAUGUUGUCUCUCUUGAGUGGAUCCUGAGUACGACGGAGCACGUGAAAUUCCGUCGGAAUCUGGGAGGACCAUCUCCUAAGGCUAAAUACUCUCUAGUGACCGAUAGUGAACCAGUACCGUGAGGGAAAGGUGAAAAGCACCCCGGAAGGGGAGUGAAAUAGAACCUGAAACCGUGUGCUUACAAGUAGUCAGAGCCCGUUAAUGGGUGAUGGCGUGCCUUUUGUAGAAUGAACCGGCGAGUUACGAUUUGAUGCAAGGUUAAGCAGUAAAUGUGGAGCCGUAGCGAAAGCGAGUCUGAAUAGGGCGUUUAGUAUUUGGUCGUAGACCCGAAACCAGGUGAUCUACCCUUGGUCAGGUUGAAGUUCAGGUAACACUGAAUGGAGGACCGAACCGACUUACGUUGAAAAGUGAGCGGAUGAACUGAGGGUAGCGGAGAAAUUCCAAUCGAACCUGGAGAUAGCUGGUUCUCUCCGAAAUAGCUUUAGGGCUAGCCUCAAGUGAUGAUUAUUGGAGGUAGAGCACUGUUUGGACGAGGGGCCCCUCUCGGGUUACCGAAUUCAGACAAACUCCGAAUGCCAAUUAAUUUAACUUGGGAGUCAGAACAUGGGUGAUAAGGUCCGUGUUCGAAAGGGAAACAGCCCAGACCACCAGCUAAGGUCCCAAAAUAUAUGUUAAGUGGAAAAGGAUGUGGCGUUGCCCAGACAACUAGGAUGUUGGCUUAGAAGCAGCCAUCAUUUAAAGAGUGCGUAAUAGCUCACUAGUCGAGUGACACUGCGCCGAAAAUGUACCGGGGCUAAACAUAUUACCGAAGCUGUGGAUUGUCCUUUGGACAAUGGUAGGAGAGCGUUCUAAGGGCGUUGAAGCAUGAUCGUAAGGACAUGUGGAGCGCUUAGAAGUGAGAAUGCCGGUGUGAG
rnacentral:rRNA from 1 species